rnacentral:rRNA from 1 species
ACUCAAAGGAAUUGACGGGGGCCCGCACAAGCGGUGGAUCAUGUGGUUUAAUUCGAAGCAACGCGAAAAACCUUACCUGGGUUUGAAAUCCCGUGAAUCUUGUAGAGAUACAGGAGUGCCCUUCGGGGAAUACGGAGACAGGCGCUGCAUGGCUGUCGUCAGCUCGUGUUGUGAAAUGUUGGGUUAAGUCUCGCAACGAGCGCAACCCUUGUCCUUAGUUGCCAGCAUUAAGUUGGGCACUCUAGGGAGACUGCCGGGGUUAACCCGGAGGAAGGUGGGGAUGACGUCAAGUCCUCAUGGCCCUUAUGUCCAGGGCGACACACGUGAUACAAUGGGUAGUACAGAGGGAUGCCAACCAGCGAUGGGGAGCAAAUCUCAAAAAGCUACUCUCAGUUCGGAUUGAAGUCUGCAACUCGACUUCAUGAAGUUGGAAUCGCUAGUAAUCGCGGAUCAGCACGCCGCGGUGAAUACGUUCCCGGGCCUUGUACACACCGCCCGU